rnacentral:rRNA from 1 species
AGAGUUUGAUCCUGGCUCAGGACGAACGCUGGCGGCGUGCUUAACACAUGCAAGUCGAACGGAAAGGCCCUGCUUUUGUGGGGUGCUCGAGUGGCGAACGGGUGAGUAACACGUGAGUAACCUGCCCUUGACUUUGGGAUAACUUCAGGAAACUGGGGCUAAUACCGGAUAGGAGCUCCUGCUGCAUGGUGGGGGUUGGAAAGUUUCGGCGGUUGGGGAUGGACUCGCGGCUUAUCAGCUUGUUGGUGGGGUAGUGGCUUACCAAGGCUUUGACGGGUAGCCGGCCUGAGAGGGUGACCGGCCACAUUGGGACUGAGAUACGGCCCAGACUCCUACGGGAGGCAGCAGUGGGGAAUAUUGCACAAUGGGCGAAAGCCUGAUGCAGCAACGCCGCGUGCGGGAUGACGGCCUUCGGGUUGUAAACCGCUUUCGCCUGUGACGAAGCGUGAGUGACGGUAAUGGGUAAAGAAGCACCGGCUAACUACGUGCCAGCAGCCGCGGUGAUACGUAGGGUGCGAGCGUUGUCCGGAUUUAUUGGGCGUAAAGGGCUCGUAGGUGGUUGAUCGCGUCGGAAGUGUAAUCUUGGGGCUUAACCCUGAGCGUGCUUUCGAUACGGGUUGACUUGAGGAAGGUAGGGGAGAAUGGAAUUCCUGGUGGAGCGGUGGAAUGCGCAGAUAUCAGAGGAACACCAGUGGCGAAGGCGGUUCUCUGGGCCUUUCCUG